AUUGAACGCUGGCGGCAGGCCUAACACAUGCAAGUAGAGCGGAGCGGCGGACGGGUGAGUAAUGACUAGGAAUCUGCCUGGUAGUGGGGGAUAACGUCCGGAAACGGGCGCUAAUACCGCAUACUAUCAGAUGAGCCUAGUUCGGAUUAGCUAGUUGGUGGGGUAAAGCACUACCAAGGCGACGAUCCGUAACUGGUCUGAGAGGAUGAUCAGUCACACUGGAACGGAGACAAGGUCUAGACUCCUACGGGAGGCAGCAGUGGGGAAUAUUGGACAAAGGGCGAAAGCCUGAUCCAGCCAUGCCGCGGUUGUGAAGAAGGUCGUCGGAUUGUAAAGCACUUUAAGUUGGGAGGCGUUACCAACAGAAUAGGCACCGGCUAACUUCGUGCCAGCAGCCGCGGUAAUUC
rnacentral:rRNA from 1 species